GAUCACUCCUCACAGAAUUCCGGUUUAAUUUCGAUACACAAAGUUAACCUGUGGAUUACACUGGACCAUGCUGGGGUUCGUGGGAUUGGCGGUCUGUGCCAUUCUACCGAUAUGUUUGGCUACAAUGGAUGAACCAAUUACGAUAGUUUGGACCUUUGAUGGAGAAUCUUGUCCUGACUCUAGUUCAUCCAUGAGUAGAGUGUUGCCAUUGCUGAUUAUGGUUAUGCUCAUGCAAUCAUACUGGGGAUCUUAUUUUUCAUUGUUUUUAAACAAUGUGUUAUUGG